rnacentral:misc_RNA from 1 species
UUUAUAUAUUCCUAAUUAGUGUAGGAUUUAUUCCUAAAUAGGCAGGAUUUAUAUUCCUAAUUAAGUAAAAUAAUUAUAGGAGAUUGGUACAUAAAUAUGUAACCUUCUAUUUUAUAGAAAUAAUAAAAGUAAAGAUGUAGCCCUUCCAUCUUAACAAGGACCAAAGGGAGUUGGAACAAAAGUAAGGAAAAUUGAGAGGAGGAAGAGAAUAGACCCUAACCAACAGCAACUUGUUUUUCUUACCUGUCACACCCCGG